AUGGCAGACGGGUGAGUAACGCGUGGGAAACCUACCUCUUUGUGGGGAAUAACGCUCCGAAAGGAGUGGUAAUACCGCAUGAGACCAUGGACUGGGACGUCCAUGGUGAAACCUGGGGACCGUAAGGCCUGGGGCAAGGAGAGGGUCCUGCGUCUGAUUAGCUAGUUGGUGGGGUAACGGCCUACCAAGGCAACGAUCAGUAGCCGGCCUGAGAGGGUGAUCGGCCACACUGGAACUGAGACACGGUCCAGACUCCUACGGGAGGCAGCAGUGGGGAAUUUUGCGCAAUGGGCGAAAGCCUGACGCAGCAACGCCGCGUGGGUGAUGAAGGUCUUCGGAUCGUAAAACCCUGUCGUCAGGGACGAAGGUUAGUCGUUGAAUAGGCGAUUGACUUGACGGUACCUGGAGAGGAAGCCCCGGCUAACUCUGUGCCAGCAGCCGCGGUAAUACAGAGGGGGCAAGCGUUAUUCGGAAUUAUUGGGCGUAAAGGGCGCGUAGGCGGUUUUUUAAGUGAGAUGUGCAAUCCCCGAGCUUAACUUGGGAACUGCAUCUCAGACUGGAAGGCUAGAGUGCUGGAGAGGGUGGUAGAAUUCCACGUGUAGCGGUGAAAUGCGU
rnacentral:rRNA from 1 species